rnacentral:rRNA from 1 species
AGUGAACGCUGGCGGUAGGCCUAACACAUGCAAGUCGAACGGCAGCACAGUAAGAGCUUGCUCUUACGGGUGGCGAGUGGCGGACGGGUGAGGAAUACAUCGGAAUCUACUUUUUCGUGGGGGGUAACGUAGGGAAACUUACGCUGAUACCGCAUACGACCUACGGGUGAAAGCAGGGGAUCUUCGGACCUUGCGCGAUUGAAUGAGCCGAUGUCGGAUUAGCUAGUUGGCGGGGUAAAGGCCCACCAAGGCGACGAUCCGUAGCUGGUCUGAGAGGAUGAUCAGCCACACUGGAACUGAGACACGGUCCAGACUCCUACGGGAGGCAGCAGUGGGGAAUAUUGGACAAUGGGCGCAAGCCUGAUCCAGCCAUACCGCGUGGGUGAAGAAGGCCUUCGGGUUGUAAAGCCCUUUUGUUGGGAAAGAAAAGCAGCAGGUUAAUACCCCGCUGUUCUGACGGUACCCAAAGAAUAAGCACCGGCUAACUUCGUG